rnacentral:rRNA from 1 species
GACGAACGCUGGCGGCGUGCCUAAUACAUGCAAGUUGAGCGCUGAAGGUUGGUACUUGUACCGACUGGAUGAGCAGCGAACGGGUGAGUAACGCGUGGGGAAUCUGCCUUUGAGCGGGGGACAACAUUUGGAAACGAAUGCUAAUACCGCAUAAAAACUUUAAACACAAGUUUUAAGUUUGGAAGAUGCAAUUGCAUCACUCAAAGAUGAUCCCGCGUUGUAUUAGCUAGUUGGUGAGGUAAAGGCUCACCAAGGCGAUGAUACAUAGCCGACCUGAGAGGGUGAUCGGCCACAGUGGGACUGAGACACGGCCCAAACUCCUACGGGAGGCAGCAGUAGGGAAUCUUCGGCAAUGGACGAAAGUCUGACCGAGCAACGCCGCGUGAGUGAAGAAGGUUUUCGGAUCGUAAAACUCUGUUGGUAGAGAAGAACGUUGGUGAGAGUGGAAAGCUCAUCAAGUGACGGUAACUACCCAGAAAGGGACGGCUAACUACGUG